AAUAUUGGACAAUGGGGGCAACCCUGAUCCAACCAUGCCGCGUGUGUGAAGAAGGUCUUCGGAUUGUAAAGCACUUUUGGCAGGGAAGAAAAGGCUCUGGCUAAUACCUGGAGCUGCUGACGGUACCUGCAGAAUAAGCACCGGCUAACUACGUGCCAGCAGCCGCGCUAAUCCGUAGGGUGCAAGCGUUAAUCGGAAUUACUGGGAGUAAAGCGUGGUCAGGCGGUUCGGCAAGAAGGAUGUGAAAUCCCAGGGCUUAACCUUGGAACUGCAUUCUUAACUGCCGGGCUAGAGUAUGUCAGAGGGGGGUAGAAUUCCGCGUGUAGCAGUGAAAUGCGUAGAGAUGCGGAGGAAUACCGAUGGCGAAGGCAGCCCCCUGGGAUAAUACUGACGCUCAUGCACGAAAGCGUGGGGAGCAAACA
rnacentral:rRNA from 1 species